AUCGAGUAAUAAACUCGUAUCAAUGGCGUGACCAAAUCAGUUCUAAUUAUUUAACCAAACAUAUUCCGCCGAAUGGCAUAGAAGAAAGACUGCAGAACCUAGAGGAACAACUAACAUUGAGCACACCUGUUCCUAAAAAUGUUUACCAACGCCUUCAAAAUUUAGAAGAUCGAUUGAUAUAUUUAGAAUCUAUUUCACCUGAAUAUGUCCAAUUUUGGAAUAAAAUUGUAGUCCCAAAUGGAAGUUCAGCAAAGAAGAAAGUAUUUACAAUUAGUGAAAUUGAUGCUUUAAUUGCUGAAGUACAAAAAGUAUAAUGUAACCUUAGUUUGUAAUUAAAAAAAUAAAUUUGUUAAUCAAAUGUUUACCC
rnacentral:lncRNA from 1 species